GGUCUGGGCGGCUGCCCUUCCCGGCCGGCGUCGGCAGCGCAGUGCGCAGGCGCAGCGGGCGGGUUUCCCCAGGCUACAGUUGGGGCCGCCGCCCGCUGGUCCGCCGCCCUGCGCCAUGGCGGGCUGCGCGGCGCGGGCUCCGCCGGGCUCCGAGGCGCGCCUCAGCCUCGCCACCUUCCUGCUGGGCGCCUCGGUGCUCGCGCUGCCACUGCUCACGCGCGCCGGCCUGCAGGGCCGCACCGGGCUGGCGCUCUACGUGGCUGGACUCAACGCGCUGCUGCUGCUGCUCUACCGGCCGCCGCGCUACCAGAUAGCCGUCCGAGCCUGUUUCCUUGGCUUUGUGUUUGGCUGUGGAGUGCUACUCAGUUUUAGCCAGUCUUCUUGGAAUCACUUUGGCUGGUAUAUGUGCUCCCUGUCAUUGUUCCACUAUUCUGAGUACUUAGUCACAGCAGUCAAUAAUCCCAAGAGUCUGUCCCUGGAUUCCUUUCUCCUGAAUCACAGUGUGGAGUAUACAGUAGCAGCUCUUUCCUCUUGGAUAGAGUUCACACUUGAAAAUAUCUUCUGGCCAGAACUGAAGCAGAUCACCUGGCUCAGCGCCACGGGGCUGCUGAUGGUGGUCUUUGGAGAGUGUCUGCGGAAAGCGGCGAUGUUUACAGCUGGUUCCAAUUUCAACCACGUGGUGCAGAAUGAAAAGUCAGACACCCACACUCUGGUGACAAGCGGAGUAUACGCUUGGUUCCGGCAUCCUUCUUACGUUGGGUGGUUUUACUGGAGUAUCGGAACCCAGGUGGUGCUGUGUAACCCCAUCUGCGGCGUGAGCUACGCUCUGACAGUGUGGCGCUUCUUCCGCGACCGGACAGAGGAGGAGGAGAUCUCGCUGAUUCACUUUUUUGGAGACGAGUACCUGGAGUAUAAGAAGCGGGUGCCCACGGGCCUGCCUUUCAUAAAGGGGGUCAAGGUGGAGCUAUGAUAGGCCCGGGCGGCCCAGGCCAGGCUGGGGCCCCCCCACUCCAGGCAGCGUGGGACGGAACUGCUUCCUGUCGGCCACGCUGCAGAACGGACUUUCUUAAAUCAUUUUGUGUGUCACCAGUGGCUCUUCUGGAAUAUCACUCAAGAUCAAAUGGUCAGAAGGCCUUAGGACCAAAGGACCCCACUCCCACCCCCACUCCCACCUCCCCGCUGCCCGGAGCAGCCUGUUCCCGGGCUGCAUCAAGGUUUCAAAGCGGAGACUCUGAAAUGGAAAAUAGGCACUGCACAGAACAAAGCUAUUUUGAAGCAGUGCAAAAUGAAACACUUCACGAGGGUUUGCAGGCUGGGGCCGAGACCGGCGGUUUACUGAAACGAGGUUGUAGGUGAGCCUGGCAGAGGGCAGGAGGCAGCGCACCCCGCCGGCCCUUCAUUGUCAUAAACUGCUGCAUAAACCUACAAAGGGAACUGUGUCAAUCCCUCCCGCUUAUUUAGCACUCUGGGUGAUUAACAUGAUGGGGGAACGUCGCUAAACCCACUGGCUGUGUUGACAGGGGAGGUUCCGUAGGGUCUCGACGGCAGCUCCGUUUGGUCGCAGCCCCUCUGUGACGGGAACAGUGAACCACUGUCCCUUCUCUGCACUUUCUUACUGCCUUAGACAGUUGUGCUCUCCCUCUGUGUUUUGCUUCUGCAGUGACUUGGUGAGGCCAGGCGACCCCAGCCUGUCUGGCAUGGUGCGAGAGGCUUGCUGUCUGUGCCCCGCUGUGGGGGCCUGACGCCCUGUCCUGGGCUCGGUCCCAAGCGCUUGCCCCUGCAGGACUGUCCCGUAGCUUAGGCUAGGAGAGUAACCUAAUGGGGUAAUUACUCUUCUUUUUACAUGCAGAAAUGUUUAUUUAAAUAUUGGAUUUUCUUUCACAGAAAUUAUUUCCAAUGCUUAAAUAAAACUGUACUUGAUUUCACUAUGAACAAUAGUAUGAUCGUGUGGGAUUCAGAAACUUUUUUUUUUUUUAAAUAUUUAUUUAUUUAUUUAUUUGGCUGUGCCGGGUCUUAGUUGCAGCAUGCAGGAUCUUUUAGUUGCGGCAUUCGGGAUCUAGUUCCUUGACCAGGGAUCGAACCCGGGCCCCCUGCAUUGGGAGUGCAGAGUCUUGACCACUGGACCACCAGGGAAGCCCCCAGAAACUCUUAAGGUCUUUUUGCUUCUGGCUAAGAAAUGUCCAAGGCCUACAGCGUAAAACCAGAUGUGUUUUGCCUCCUCGAUUCUGUUCUGAAGUCCUACCUCUAACCAGUUUGUAAUGACAAGUUCCUCCAGCCCCCCAGGCUACCGUGGACGUUUGUGAUGCUCUGGGACGGGAACGUCUGACAGAGCAGGUGUGGAGGUGUUGGGUACGGACGUGGCGGAUGCGUCAGCGUAUCGACCUGCAGGCCCACCUGGCACGUAGAAGCCACUCGCCGUUUGAACCACUGAAUCAAGCUGAUGUUUGCUUAAAGCAUGAUUCUUUGGGCAUCGUUUUGCCUCCAAAACUUUACACUUUAGGUCAUGCAGGUUAAUUUUCUUUCUUAAGCGUUUUGUUUAAGUUCCGCUUGAUAAAAUGGGUACUGGGUAGGAGUGGAAAACCACUAGAGCGAAGUUGCUGGUGAAUCGUUUUUUAAUAUCUAUAGAAGGUGAACACAGGAGAGUGACAGGCGGGGACAGCGGUGGGGAAGUCGUGACGGAGGCCAUCUCCUGCCACGCAGGCCACCAGGUGCUAUCGCGUUGCUUUAUGCGCUCAGCCCUGGCCCUACAGUGAGAAAAGCUGGAGCAAAGGGUUUUCUCCCCUAUGCUGAGUCAGCGCUCAGAUUAGCGGGGGGAACUUUCCAGCGGCGCCCGGAGAACAGUGGGGCUGUGCGUCAGGCAGAGCCGGAUUCCUCUGUGGUAGGGCAGGUGCUGCACAGUGGGCGGGUCUCAUCACCCGAAAUUCAGACGGGUGCACACCCCACCACAGCGGGCGCUCACGGGACGAGCACACAGACACCAGGGAGGUGCAGGGGCAGUGAGGGGCUUCCGGCUGGACGUUCACUCAGGUAACGUUUUCCACGCCGACUGGGAUGCCGUCCCGAGUCACCUUGGUGAGGACCAAGAUUCGGGGCAACACGAAGUCUGGCUCAAGCCAAAGAACCUGAAAUUGGGACCUGGCAGAGAGUGUCUGGGUUUUUCUGCUGAUGCGUGAUUAUUACACAUUAAACAGAAAAGCAUGAUGGGAACCGCCUUUUCUUAAAUAUCCCAGCGUUGAUGUGCACGUUGUAAGACGCCCGACCUCCGGGAGCAGUCCCACGCUAAGCUGGGCGCUCUCUCCAUGUGGGGACGUCACCCCCGUUUUUCGGUUUGGGUCUGUGAGCAUCUUUAUUUUUCAGUGGAGGCUCUUCUGCGAGGCUGCUCAGGGUCCGGCUGUUUCUCGGCUCUGAGGUCUUCUCUCUCCUCUCCGAGACACUCACUGGAUCGUUCCUAAAGAAACACUUAAUGUGAGCUCCUCUCUGCUCCCGUCUCACUGUGUCCCAGCGCUAAAAUCCACCCAGGCAGAGGCUUUCAGAGCGGCCAGCCUUCCGGGAAGGCACCAGCGGGUGAUAGAACCUCAA